AUUUUCGCAAAGAUAAUUUCCUUGAUGAGCUGGAGGAUCAGGAAGUUUGCUGUGAGAUUGUGUCUGUUAGUAACAUAAGAACUUAUACUCAUCGUCUCACCAACAUGACCAUCCAAGCAUGAGCUGAACAAGGUUGAUAUCAACAAAUAUGGCAAACUGGCUGAGGAAAAUCCCGUAACUCCUCUACCAUAUACCAAGGACUACAGAUAUGUGUGGCUUUCUAUUAGGAUGUAGUCAACUGACCAGAGGCAAGAUUUAAAGAAAACCUAUUCUCCUUGUUGCAGCAGCUGUUAAUCACCAAUAGCUCUUUAAAUGUGGGGCUUCAGUCCUCUUCUGACAUUAACUCAUUUACUCACCACGUUCUUUCUUUGCAGUGUACCCACUCAGUACUACUGAUUUUGAAGAUUCCCCUGGGCUGGAGAGAGAGGUCAGUGCUUGAGAGAAUUGGCUGCUCGAUCAUGAAGACAAAAGUUGACCACACCCACAUCAAGAACAGCAGUGACAAACAUCUAUAAUUCCAACUUGAGAAGAACUGAUGCCCCCUUUGGCCUUCAUGGGCAACCCUACCAGAGACAUGCAUACACAUCCAUUAAUAAAAAUGUUUAAAAGUAAAAAAUUAAAACAACAAAAAAGAA